CUUAUACAAGAAGCCAAGUCUCAUAAAAGGACUGAUGAGUUUUUGCUUGGAUCUUGAGAACCCUCAGCCUCCAUGCUGGAUGCCUGGCUUCCUUGUGGAAAAGUUCCCAGGAGCACAUACAGCAGCUGCUGUGGAGCACACAAAUAACCUGAGCACUGGAGACAUGAAGGCAGGAGGAUCAGAAGCAUGAGUCAGCCUCCGCUGCAUACUGAGUCUGAGGCCAGCCUGGUAUACAUGGAAUCCUACCUCAAAGAAAUAAACAAAUAAAUACAUUCUCUUACUCUUUGCCUA